UACGGAGGGUGCGAGCGUUGUCCGGAAUCAUUGGGCGUAAAGGGCGCGUAGGUGGCCUUCUAAGCGUGCGGUGAAAGCCUGGGGCUCAACCCCGGGUCGGCCGUGCGAACUGGGGGGCUUGAGCACUGUAGAGGCAGGCGGAAUUCCGGGUGUAGCGGUGGAAUGCGUAGAGAUCCGGAAGAACACCGGUGGCGAAGGCGGCCUGCUGGGCCAUUACUGACACUGAGAGACGAAAGCUAAGGGAGCGAACAGG
rnacentral:rRNA from 1 species